rnacentral:lncRNA from 1 species
CGAGUGAGAAACUGGGGAGUUAGGUGAAUCUCAGAACACAUUCACCAAUGUGGCCAGACAUGAAACCUGCGUUUUGCUUUAUUCUCCCCAAUCCUUGAAGAAGAGGGCCUGUAUUGCAAACCGAGGCAUGAUAUUCAUUCUUCCAGUAUGUGAAGUAGCAUUCAUUCAUCUAUUUUUGGUUGGAUAAAGGACAUGAUAUUAUUUUUGCAUCUCCGUAAUGGGGUGUCACCUAUGUUUUAGAUUUUAGAAGGGAAUAAUGGUAUAUGCGCUGGUCCACUGCAUGAAAGGACAGAGCUAAGAUGCAUUAAAUCCUACUAUGGCCCCAAUAGACGUAAAGACGACACUUUCCUGUUGUUUCGGUUUCCAUUUUUUUGAUCAGAUUUUUGCUGUGAUUCUCCCAUUAUUUCCAUUUUGCUAAUUUUAUAUCUUUUGGGUAGAUUUGGAAGUUGUUACUGGGACCUGGUUGAGUUAGAGAACAGCAUAGGCUUUUACAAGUCAGGUAUUUCUUUGUAUGAACUAUGAAGCUGUCCAAACAUUUUAGAUGUGCAGAUUAUUCUUUCAUCAAAUUUACUUAUUAAUCAAUAUCUUCUGGUUCUCCACUAUGCUUCUAUGCCGCCUCUAGUCCUGCAUUUUCUCUUUCAAAAAAUGGUAGCCUUUAUUUUAUCAGAGAUUUGUUAAACAUUUCUUUAUCAAGGAUUCUUGUUGCUUUGUCAAGUUGUCAACAAGAAGGCCAUUGGCAUUAAAGAAAUUGAUUGAUCGGGUUCGUAAUUAUUUAAGAUUAUUGGGUGGCCCCGCCUUAAUUUGAAUGAUCUCUUUGCCCUUUUCUGAAGAUUCUGUCCUUUAGGGUGAGUAAUGAUGAAAAAUGCUCUCAUUCCCACGAUAGAGUGGAUACUUCUUUUCAUUUUGGCACAAAAAAUGUACAUUGUUAUUUUUAGAUAUUAUCUCACAACAUUUUUUUUUUUUUAAUCUCUACUUUAAACAUAUAUUUAUAAUUUUACUACACAUGGUUGGCCACAAAUUCCUUACUUUGUUAUCUUACUUAUAACACUCCAAUAAAAAGUGGGUUCAUUCUUCUCCUCGUAAUAUAUUCACCUAAUGUUUAUUAAAAUUCGUGCCACCAAUAAUUAUGCAUAUUUUUAUGGAACAAAGAGAGUAUAUGUUUUUAUAUUUUUUCAGCCUUUUCACAUGUUCCGUAGGAUGAAUUAAUUAAAAAUGAUGAAAAAUAUAUAUUUUUAUGUUUUAUGUUAUAGUUAUGUCACUUAUCUAAAAGAAAUGCAUUUUUACUAUUAUAAAUUAUAUGUCGUUUAUCAUAGACUGUAGUCAAUGAGAUUAAUAAUAAAAAUCAUUAUUUAGAGUAAGUUCCUAUAAAAGCACCUUUUUUUUCAACCAUUAUAAUGUUGAUUGGUUCCCAUUUUGAUACUAUACUUUCAGUACGGUGUAGGGUGCAGGCUUGAGUUUUAAUAAGUAGUUGAGAGAGAUGUAUAAAAUGAUGAUAUAGAUCAUUAAAGUUGAUUUCUUAGAAAAUUAAUAAAAUAAUUUGUUAGAUGAAUUUUAUUUGUACAUUAUUGAAUAUGAAUAAAGUUUAAAAUAUAAAUACGUAUCAAAAUGAAAAACAUCAUACUUAUUGGUGACGAACCAAAAUAGCUAGAAAGACCACAUUUUUUGGUGGACGAGUGAGUAUAUAAGACUAUCUUUAUCAAUAAUCCUCAUCAACCCAACUUUUUAAUAGAAAAACAUUUCUUUCUCUUCCACAUAUACAACCUAUAAUUCAAUUCAAUUUUAUAACUUUUUUACUUUAUCAAUAACCCACACCAACCUAAAUAUAAUUUAUUCUUUUAUUAUUUUUUAUUAUACUUUUUGAUGACAAAAUGCCAAAUGGCAUAACCUCAUUUGACAAAUGAGGUUAUUAAAUAAGUCGGUCAUUGCCCAAAAACUUACAACCAGUUAUGCGGUUUAGAAUAUUUUAUUAUUACUUUUGCAAUCAAACAUUUUGUCUUAUAUAAUGAUCGGUCGGUGAGGUCAUUAGUAAAUGUAGUCUAAUAGGAAAAUGGAUUGAAGCUCUCUCCUUAAUUUAGGAUCCUAGAAUGACAUCUCCAUAAUUCUUUAUUUUUAUUUAUCUAAAUUCUUCAUUUAUAUUUUUUUAAUUAUAUAUUUUAUGUCUAAUAAUAAUUAUAUUAUUAUAAUUUAAUCUUUUCAAAAUUCAUAAAAUCCAUAAUUUAGCUUAAUUAUAUGAUUACAAUAAAUCCAAAUGUUGAACCAGCCAAAUAUGAAAACUUAUAUCUCCAAUUAAAUACUCCAUCUAUUCCGUAAGAGAGUAUCACUUUGGGGCUUUUGAGAGAUGACACAAGUUUUUAAAAAUGUUGGUAGAUAAUAUAUGAAAUAGAAAAAGACCAAUUACUUUUUAGAAAAAAGUGAUAAGUGUGAGGUCAUGUCCCAAAAUAAAAUUUUGAACCAAUCCGAUGAUGGGCUCGCUUCUUUCUCUGAAGGCUCCAAUAUUUUUUCUCCGAGCUCUCUUCCAACUCCGGCAAACCCACCGCCCGUUGUUGAAGCCGAAGAAGUGAAGCCAAAGUCUUCGAAGCACCGCAUUGGGUACAUGAGUGCCGAGACAGAGCUCAUAUGCAUGUUGUGGGUGGAGGCUACCCACAACUCAAUAUUGGGAGAUGGUAUAAAAGCUACUCAAUAUUGGAGAGGUGUCACUGAGAGAUUCAACGCCAAUAAACCCGAGCGAGCUCCUAUUCGUGAGAACAUGCAUAUCAAAUCUCACUUUCAACACAUUCAAAAGGACGUUAAACUGUGGGAAGCGAUAUACGACAAAUGCAAAGCUAGUUGGGGUAGUGGAAUGAGUGACGAGAAAAUCACUCAACAUGCGCAAAAAAUCAAUGAGGCCAACAAUGGCUCCCAAUUUAGGCAUUUCAAAAGCAUGGAUGAUCUUGCGCGAAUGUCAGCGAUUUGCAUCUCAGGGCGAGGAUGUGCACUCCCCCAAGAAGUCAAAAAGCUCUGAGGGACAGGCCACAACAUCUUCGGAGCCAAGUAUGACGACGAGGACCCAAGGCCAGAAAGCGGCGAAGCGCGAUAAAGGUAAAGGGAAGAAAGUGGAAUCAUCGCCGAAGCAAAAGCUAAAAUGACCGAACCAAAAAUCAAAAAAGUCAAGAUGAGAAGAGAGGAGUUCGAUUUCAAAAUCUUCAACACGAACACUUCAAGGAUGUCAGAGGCUCAAUUGGCAUGGCACCAGAAUAUGGUCCAAUAAAUGCUCAUGCGUAGAGGAUUCAUGUAGUCUAGGGUUUUUUUUUUUAAUUGUAAUUUUUUAAAAUUAUUUAAAUUAAUAAUUUUUUAUUUUAAUUAAUGUAAUAUUGAAUUUUUAAUUUUAAUGAAAUAUUAAAUUUUUAAAUAGAAGAGAAAAAAUGAGAUUAAAUGGAAAUGAAGAUUAUAGCGUCUCUUAUAGAGUCAAUGCACUUGAGAUGGGAGGUGCUAAGGUGAGGAUCACAAAAAAGGACCUCCCUUUAACGCCUUCUACUGGAGAUGCUCUAAUAAUAUUAUUCCCUCCGUAUCAUAACAAGUGUUCUAGUUUCUUUGUAUUUAAUAAAUAAACUAUGACACUUGUCAUGGGACGGAGGGAGUAGUAUAUUAGUUUUAAAAAAUAUUACUAUCACUUUGAUAUUUACAAUAAGGGGUUAAUUACGCCAAAAACCAUGAACUAUACCCCAAUUUCCAACUUUUCCAUGAUUUUUUUUUUUAAAUCAAAAAUUCCCUGAACUUAAUGUGUUGAACAAUUUUUCCAUAACUUUCAAGAAUCCCCAAAUUCAUAGCUGACAUGGCAUGUUUUAAGUGACCGGAUAUAUGAUAUGGCAUCGCCGGCGGAGAAUUGAAACGACGUCAUUUAAUUGGAGGUAAACGACGUCGUUUAACAUCAGCCCCCCUUUCUGAGCCCUAAUUUCGGCGGAGGCGAAGGCGGAGGAAAUCGGCGGAGGCGAAGGCGGAGGAUCAGUGCCGGAGAUGCAGUGCAACGGCGUGCUGGUUUGCAGCAACGACCUCGCGCGGUGCUGGUUUGCAAUUGCCCGUUCUCGUGCGGCGCCGGACGCUAACCUUAUCGCAACAAUUGAUGUCUCUUCGAUUUUGGAUAGAGGGGUGGAUCUGAGGGGUGGGCGGCGGCAAGGGCACCUGAUCUGGUGCGGCGGCGGGUGGAAGGAGGUGAAAUUAGGGUUUGGGGGUGGGGAAAACGGGGGAGACGAAAUUAAGGUUGGGGCGCCGGAUCUGCUUUUGCCCUCUCUCUUUCCUCCUUUCUCGCUCUCUCGGUCGGACGACCAUCGACGAAGAGCCAACGCCGCUCUAUUAUGCUCUGCUUUGCUCUACUAUACUCUACUCCGCUCUACUCUUCUAUACUCUGCUCUGAUCUACUCUGUUCUGCUAUACUCUACUCUGCUCUGCCCUCGGACGACCAUCGGCGAAGAGCCAACGUCGCUCUAUUCUGCUCUACUCUUCUAUACUCUGCUCUGAUCUACUCUGUUAUGCUCUACUCUACUCUGCUCUGCCCUGCUGUAAACCCUAUCCCCUCUCCUCGAAGUCCGGCGACUGCACAGCCAUAGGGUUGUCGCCGCAAAGCUCCAGAUCCCCCACCUUCUUACGCCUCAUCUGCGCUUCGAUUGGACAAUAACCUGACCACCACCGUGCAAACGAAGAGAAUACAUGUGUAAUUGUUUCUGACAUGGAGGAGGAGUUCGUCGAACAUGGAGGAGAGGCGGCGGUAGGCGGUGGAGAGAGAGGGGGCGGCGGAUCUGGUGGGGCGGUGGUGUUCGCCGGACAUGGAAGGGGGGAAGAGAAAGAGAAUAAUUUUUUGUUUUUUGUUUGUUUUUUUUUUUCAAGUGUCAAUUUUUAGUCCAAAUAGACGCCACGUUAGCUCGAUAUUACCACGUAGGCGACAAGUCAGCCCGGAGCUUCACCGGGGAAAAAAGUAUGGAAAAAUUGUUCAACACAUUAAGUUCAGGAAUUUUUGAUAAAAAAAAAAAUAUGGAAAAAUUGAAAAUUGGGGUAUAGUUAUGCGUAAUUAAUUCUAUUAAUUCUAAAAUAAGCAAAUAAUUAAGUGUCGGUAUGCAAUUAAGAAACAAUUAUCACUACGCCUAUCAUAUUAGACAAUUAAUGACACCUAUCAAUUCUGGACUUAAAUUCCUCUAGCCUGAUGGCUGAGUGAUUACCUAUCAUUUUAUGCCAUAAUUAAUCAUACCUUCUUUUUCAUUUUUUUUCUUUUUUGAGUGGAUUGUAAAGGUCAAACCGGUCUUUUCUUUUUUCAUUUAGGACAACACGGUUUGAAUUUUUGACCAAAAUAAAAUUUGUAUAUUUACUUAAGUUUUUUUUUGAGACAAAAGUUUCUGUUACUUGGUUGUUAUUACAAUUUAUAACGAAAAAUCAAAGACAUUAAUAGUCGAUGUAUUAUAGUUUUAAUAAGAAGAAAAUGAUAACAAAGACGUAAAUAAACAACAUUAAUAGUUUCUCUCUCUACAUUCACUCUUCCGACUUCCGAUCCAGAGAGAGGGAGAGAGAUUCCAUCAUCAGCGAUUAACGGCAAAAUCUAGAGAGAGAGAGAGAGAGAGGUGGGGAGAAUUGAUUACUUGCUUUGCUGUGAUGAUUUAGUUGAUGCAUUGUUCUCACAUUUACGUUAAUUCAUUUAUUUCAUUCGUUGAUUUGCUUAAGCUAGAUACAUAUAGAACACGGAAAUCGGGAAAGCAAUCGGAAACCCUAGGGCUAGUGGGAUUGGGCGGGAUUUUGUUAGAAUCGAGGAGUUCACAGCUGGAGGGAAGAUCGAGAUCAUUGAAUUGCCGCGGUGGCGGAUCUGAUGGUGAGAAGCGCUUUAUUGAUUUCGAAGAAUUAUUUGGACCUUGUACGUUUGAAGAAUAUUAGGAUUGAUUGUAUCGGUGGCGGCGCAAGUGGUGGUGCCUGUGGUAAUUCUUUGAAUUUUGGGAGGUUAAAAGGAGGGAAUAGGAGGAUACUGGUGGAGAGGGGCGGCGGUGCAGGAAGAUGCAGCUGCACUUCUCACCUAGCAUGAGAAGUAUAACGAUAUCGUCGAGCAACGGUGUAGGAAAUGGAAAUGGAGGUGGAGAUUUGAUGAAGAUCAAGGUCGCAGCUCGCCACAUUUCGUACCGCACGCUGUUCCACAGCAUUCUGAUUCUUGCGUUUUUGUUGCCAUUUGUGUUCAUUCUAACAGCUCUUGUCACCCUUGAAGGUGUCAACAAGUGUUCGUCAAUUGGUACGUUGUGAGAUUCUCCUUCUCCUUGGCUCUUCGAUUGAUAUCAUGAUUUAAUUAUUGCCUUAUUGGUUUUGUUUACUUUAGAUAAUUAUGAUGUUAUUUCAAUCUAAAUUAUUAUUCGGUAUUAUGCAUGUGGUAUGGGGCAUUACUGUGUUUCUAGCUUCUAAAGUUGUGUAGAAUGAUGUGAGACCUGAAUUAUGAUUCUCCUGUUGGCUGUGAUUCUCAACCUUAUGGUAGAUAAAUUAAAAUUGUUGUGUUAAAAAAGACUUGUUAUAUCAAUAUGUACAUGGGGAUGGUCGAACAUUCUGCCUGUGUUUGCUGUUUUUAUUCAGUUCUGUUGUUGUGGGUGCUUGCGUCAAACAAUUUUUUUUCCCUUUCUGUAUUAGGUGUUUGAUAUUGUUAAGCUAAUCUGCUAAAUAUCCUUUCCUGUGUUUGUAAAUCUGCUAAAUAUCUUUUUCAUCCACUAUUGAAAUGCACCCCUUUAUGCUUCUGUACAACUUUGAUCUAGAGAUAGUGUGGUGAUCACCUUUAUGGAAAGUUUCCAGGUUUGCUCUUCCUAGAUGUCUAAAGAAGGAACAGGAUGGCUUAACCCCAUCUUGGAUAAAUUCUAACUUGGCCCUUCACUUGAGAAGCACUAUAAUUUUUUUAAUCCAUGCAGUGAAAUUCCUCCAACUAAAAAUCAUUUCUAUACAACACAACUUGUAGACAAUUCUGUUAAGACUGCUUCAAGUUCUUCCUUUUCUGUUUGUUCUUUUGGACAAAUGUCGUUGAUCUCCUUAAGGCAUUUUAAUGUGAAUAUGCAAGUUUUCGUUUUUUAUCCAAAAUCCUGAAUAUAUGUGUUCUCAAAUUUUAUUUUCUAUUGCUUUCAGAUUGUUUAGGACGUCGGUUAGGACCGAAGCUUCUUGGUAGAUCCACUGAUUCCGGGGUAUGAUUCGUAUAUUCAUAUGGUUAAUUUAUCAAUCAUAAAAAGCAAGCUAAAACUUUGUCGUUGUUGUUGUAAUGACAGAAGCUGGUGAAGGACUUUGUUAAGAUUUUGAAUCAAGUAAACUCUGAGAAAGUCCCUGACACCUUGAAGAUCCCAGACUCUUAUAAUCAGCUCCUUUCUGAAAUGAAAAACAACAAGUAUAGUUCAAAGGACUUUGCCCUGAUUCUGAAAGGAAUGGUAUGUAUUUGUGUAUUGCAUUUUUUUCACAGUUUCAUACUAUUUGUGGUUAGCAAAUAAUAUAUGCAUUAGAAAAAUGUCUUUUUUUCUAUGAAGUUACGUUCCUGAACCACUUAACACAGUUCUUUAUUUUACCAUGCAUUUCAUUCAAGAGAUUAUAUAAUCUCUGUAUGCUCCACUACUUUUUUGGAUUUUCCCAAGUGACCUUGGUUGCAAACAAUUAUAUUUAGUUUUAAAAUUGUCUUUUCUCGUAACAGAUGGAGAGAUCUGAAAGGGAUAUAAGGCAGUCCAGGUUUGCUGAGCUUAUGAAUAAACACUUUGCAGCUAGUGCCAUCCCGAAGAGCAUUCAUUGCCUUUCAUUGAGGCUGACUGAUGAGUAUUCUUCCAAUGCUCAUGCCCGCAGACAGUUACCUUCUCCGGAGUUACUUCCUUUGCUCUCUGACAACUCCUACCAUCACUUUGUGUUAUCCACAGACAAUAUUCUUGCUGCUGCUGUUGUUGUCACAUCUGCUGUACAGACUUCUGCAAACCCUGAAAAGAUAGUUUUCCAUGUCAUAACUGACAAGAAAACUUAUGCUGGCAUGCAUUCAUGGUUUGCCCUGCAUCCUUUGCCUCCUGCUAUAGUUGAAGUAAAAGGUGUGCAUCAAUUUGAUUGGUUAACAAGAGAGAAUGUUCCAAUUCUUGAAGUUGUGGAGAACCACAAUGGUAUUAGGAAUUACUACCAUGGGAAUCAUAUUGCCGGGGCCAAUCUUAGUGAUACGACUCCACGAACAUUUGCUUCCAAAUUACAAGCUAGGAGUCCAAAGUAUAUCUCAUUGCUUAACCAUCUUCGUAUAUAUCUCCCAGAGGUAAUUGUUUGCGCUUGAACAUACAGAUGUUCCAUAUUUUAUGUUUAUAUUGUAUUUAUUUUACAAUAGGAAUGUCAUACACCAAAAUGAUGGUAUGCCAUUGGACUAACUGCUAUCUGUUUUCAUCAUCUGCACUUGUCUGCUUAUGUGCCUAAAUAUAUGUGAUUCUGGGUGACAUAUUUGAAAUGAAAAGCCCUGACUUAGCCCAGGGGUGAGGAUCAAACUUCACAUACAAUCAUUUUUGAGAAAAUUGAGACAAUUAAUCUUGUUCCUUUGCUUGAAGCUUAUCAUUUUGAUCCCUUCAUUGCACUCUGGUCAAAUAAAUGCUCAUAUCAUUUUAAUUACUUCAAUCUUCGUAUGCUUAUGUUUUAACCAAAUUUAGUACUCCUACUACUCAUUUCUUCAGUGGUCUAUUGUCCUUGUUCUCUUUAUUGAACAUUCAGGUUCUUGGUGAAUAGAUUGAUUUGUGGGAUCCAUGAUUUAGUACAUACAAUGUCAAAUAAAAAUAAUUGGAGCAUGGCAUUGGCGUUGUGUUGCCUAAAUGAGUAUGCUUUUUUCUGGGACAUCAGGGAUGCGCUUUGUUUCUCACUCUGGCUAUUUUGUAUCUUUAAAUUAUGGAUGGGAUUGAAAGUUGGUUCCAGCAUUCUUUUCUUUCAUUAAAAAAAUCUUAAGAUUCACAGCAGACAGUAAUAUUUGCUAUGAUUUGCAGCUAUUCCCGAACCUAGAUAAAGUGGUUUUCCUGGAUGAUGAUGUUGUAAUUCAACGAGAUCUGGCUCCUCUCUGGGAAAUUGACCUUAAUGGAAAAGUUAAUGGAGCUGUUGAAACUUGUAAAGGUGAAGAUGAGUGGGUUAUGUCUAAGCGAGUCAGGAACUAUUUCAACUUCUCUCAUCCACUUAUAGCAAAGAACUUGGAUCCUGAUGAAUGUGCAUGGGCAUAUGGGAUGAAUAUUUUUGACUUGCAUCAAUGGAGAAAGACAAAUAUUAGAGAUACUUAUCACACCUGGCUUAAAGAGGUACACUAAAAUUUCCAUACAAUUUAAGUUAUUUCUCGUAUCAUCUGUUUUUGCCGCUUAGUUUGAUUAAUGGAAGAGGAUUGCUUUUGCAAGCAAGUUCCAAGUCUUUACUUUAGCUGCUGGAGCACCAGAUCUUCUACACACUUUGAAACUUAAGACAUAAUGAUAUUAAAUAAACCGCAUAGAAAUUUAAAUCCCUCACAAAUGGAAGCUCAUUUCUUAUGUCCACGUAUCUAUAAUCCCUAUGGCUGAGCUCUUCCCAUUCUUGAAAAAGAUAAAGUUGGAUGGUUUAUCCAUGAGCGUUUUUUUCAUUAUGUCAUUCAUUUGCCCCUAUUACUUCCAGACUUCGGCGUUUUCCUGAAAAUAAUCAUAUUAAUAAUAGUAAUGAUUUUCUGCUAUAAUAAAAUUGAGAUCGUCCAGUCUUGUUUGUUACAACUAGGACUGAUGCUGAUAAUUAUAGGAUAUCAGUGUGAUAUAUUUCAUAUGUUGAUCUUAAAUUUCUAAAAUUAAGAUUAAACAUAUGCUAUAAAGUCUGGAGAUGUAGCUCAAAUGGCAAAACAAUUGAAUCAAGAUUAAAAAAUAAAAUCAAAUGCUGCUGUGUCCGCUGGAGGUGGGUGAAUAGGUUAAUGGCAGCUGAGAGAAGGGGCUGGUUAUGUCUAGCGUAGCUCAUUAACAGCAUUUUAGAAGAAAAUUUAUUUAGAAUUUCUGUUUUGGCUAUAAACUCCCAUUACUUCAGCAUGAGGUGAAGAGUUUCUGUAAUAUGCUCUUCUAAUGUGGGUGCUGUGAAUUACAGAAUCUGAAGUCAAACCUCACGUUGUGGAAACUUGGAACCCUGCCCCCAGCUUUGAUUGCAUUUAAGGGUCAUGUUCAUCCAAUUGAUCCUUCCUGGCACAUGCUUGGGUUGGGCUAUCAGAAUAAGACGAAUAUUGAAAAUGUGAAAAAGGCAGCCGUGAUCCACUACAAUGGCCAGUCAAAACCUUGGUUGGAGAUUGGAUUUGAGCAUCUCCGACCAUUCUGGACAAAAUACGUGAACUACUCUAGUGAUUUCAUAAGGAACUGCCACAUCUUGGAGUAGUAAUGAGUCUAAUGACACCAGACAUGCACCGAGGAAAUCAUGGGACAAAGACAGAGGCAUUAUGGAUUAUAUACUCAAAGUCUUUUGGCAGGUAAUAUUUAUCAAUCUUGAUUAAGUAAGAAACUGGGGAUUUAGGUGAAUCUCAGAACACAUUCAGCAAUGUGGCCAGACAUGAAACCUUCGUUUUGUUGGAUUUGCCCCAACCCUUGAAGAAGAAGACCUGUAUUGCAGACCAAGGCAUGAGAUUCGUUCUUCCAGUAUGUAAAGUAGCAUUCAUUCAUAUAUUUUUGGUCGGAUAGAGGGCAUGAUAUUAUUUUUGCAUCUCCGUAAUGGGGUGUCACCUAUGUUUUAGAUAUUAGAAGGGAAUAAUGGUAUAUGCGCUGGUCCACUGCAUGAGAGGACAGAGCUAAGAUGCAUUAAAUCUUAAGGCUCAUACUAUGGCCCCAAUAGACGUAAAGACGACACUUUCCUCUUGUCUCAGUUUCCAU